UCUUCAUUCCGCUUGCUCUCUCUCCAAUCAGAGAGGCGAGAGAGUGUGCGAAGUGAAGAGA
rnacentral:pre_miRNA from 1 species